AGUGAACGCUGGCGGUAGGCCUAACACAUGCAAGUCGAACGGCAGCACAGUAAGAGCUUGCUCUUACGGGUGGCGAGUGGCGGACGGGUGAGGAAUACAUCGGAAUCUACUUUUUCGUGGGGGAUAACGUAGGGACACUUACGCUAAUACCGCAUACGACCUACGGGUGAAAGCAGGGGAUCUUCGGACCUUGCGCGAUUGAUUGAGCCGAUGUCGGAUUAGCUAGUUGGCGGGGUAAAGGCCCACCAAGGCGACGAUCCGUAGCUGGUCUGAGAGGAUGAUCAGCCACACUGGAACUGAGACACGGUCCAGACUCCUACGGGAGGCAGCAGUGGGGAAUAUUGGACAAUGGGCGCAAGCCUGAUCCAGCCAUACCGCGUGGGUGAAGAAGGCCUUCGGGUUGUAAAGCCCUUUUGUUGGGAAAGAAAAGCAGCAGGUUAAUACCCCGCUGUUCUGACGGUACCCAAAGAAUAAGCACCGGCUAACUUCGUG
rnacentral:rRNA from 1 species